UACGGAGGGUGCAAGCGUUAUCCGGAUUCACUGGGUUUAAAGGGUGCGUAGGAGGGCAGGUAAGUCAGUGGUGAAAUCUCCAAGCUUAACUUGGAAACUGCCGUUGAUACUAUCUGUCUUGAAUACCGUGGAGGUGAGCGGAAUGAUGUCAUGUAGCGGUGAAAUGCUUAGAUAUGAACAUAGAACACCAAUUGCGAAGGCA
rnacentral:rRNA from 1 species